rnacentral:rRNA from 8 species
UGAAGCUUAUUAAAAACACCGGUUAAGCUUGUGCCAGCAUCAGCGGUAAUACAAGCGGUGUGGGCAUUUGAUUAGUUGAUUAAGUGUAAAGUGAGGGUUGUGUUUGUAAAUUGUAAAGCAUAAAUAGAUUCAGAGUGCUUCUUUAUUGAGAAAUUAAUUAUGACUCAUGAUAUUUGGUUACAUCACCGCUUAUUGUAAUGGUGAAAUGUGUAUAUAAUUUGAGUGAGACCAAUUGGAAAGUAGUAACUUUAUCAUUGAGAUGCUCAAUCCACUAAAUGUUGAGCUGUGACAGGGAUUAGAUACCCCUUUAAUUCAAUUCAUUAGCUUUUUGAUAUCAAGGUAUAGCGCAUUUAACAUAUGAAAUUCAAAUACUUAAGGAGUAUGUUUGUUCGAAUAAAACUUAAAUGUUAUGGUGGUGGUUUAAUUUAACAGUGGAAUAGAUGAUUUAAUUUGAUGUUGAGCAAUGAAGCUUAUCAGUGAUAAAUUAGUUAAUGUUUGGUCCAAAUACUCAUUAAUUAAAGGUAGUGCAUGGCUGUUUUAGGGUAAUUUUUUGUAAUAUCUUUUUCAUUUCAGUAAUAAUCGUAGGUCUUAGUAGUUGUUUUAGUUAGAAUCACGUCGAGUCAUCAUGCUCUUUGGUCCGGAGAUAUUCAUUUGUUACAACGAGUGCCAUAAGAUUUAGUGUGGUUAGAGCACAUUUGUAUUAAAUGCACUCAUCUUAUUGGUCCCUGAUAUGGGAUCAUUUAAGAAGGAAUUGUUAGUAAUGGUUGGUUAGUUAUUCAAUGGUGAACUAAAGAUAAACUUUGCACAUACUGCCCGUCAAGCACUAAGAGUAUAAUCUUACCAAAAUGGAACGUCUCGUUUUAUUAAGAAGAUUUCUAAUUAUUGUUAAGUCGAAACAAGGUUGCUCUUCAGGAAUGAGGGGCU